rnacentral:rRNA from 1 species
CACGUAGGAUCCGAGCGUUAUCCGGAUUUACUGGGCGUAAAGCGCGUGCAGGUGGUCUGUUAAGUUGGAUGUUAAAUCUCACGGCUUAACCGGGAGAUGUCGUUCAAAACUGGCAGACUAGAGGACGGUAGAGGAAGGUGGAAUUCCGGGUGUAGUGGUGAAAUGCGUAGAUAUCCGGAGGAACAUCAGUGGCGAAGGCGACCUUCUGGACCGCUCCUGACACUCCAACGCGAAAGCUAGGGGAGCAAACGGGAUUAGAAACCCAGUAGUCC